rnacentral:rRNA from 1 species
AACGAACGCUGGCGGCAUGCUUAACACAUGCAAGUCGAACGAGACAUCCGGGUCUAGUGGCGCACGGGUGCGUAACGCGUGGAAACCUGCCCUUCGGUUCGGAAUAACUCCCCGAACGGGUUGCUAAUACCGGAUAAUGUUUUCGGACCAAAGAUUUUUUGCCUUUGGCUGGGCCGGCGUUGGAUAGCUAGUUGGUUUGGGUAAAGCCUACCAAGGCGGCGAUUCAUCGCUGGUCUGAGAGGAUGAUCAGCCACACUUGGGCUGAGACACGGCCCAGAGUACUACGGGAGGCAGCAGUGGGGAAUAUUGCACAGUGGGCGAAAGCCUGAUCCAGCAAUGCCGCGUGAGUGAUGAAGGCGUUAGUGUUGUAGAGCUCUUUUACCCGGGAUGGUAAUGACGGUACCGGGAGAAUAAGCUCCGGCUAACUCCGUG